CCGGGAGCCUUUCGGUGCUGUUUGCGGCGUUUUGGAUACAGGCUCGUUACGUUGCCGCUGUGCCUUUUCGUCUGUGAAUUCCUUUGAACUGCGGUGGGAGCUCAGCCUCGUCCAGUAGCCGGUAACAAAAAGUACAGAAAUAGUGGUUCAUCUUCACUCAGCACCUCCCAACCAAGAACCUGGUCCAUUCCAAAGAAGUAAGAAUUCCUAUAUCAAACUCUCCUUCAAAGAACUUGGCCAGACUGAAGAGGAAGAGUCAAAGAAGGUAGAGAGACAAAAGCAAAAGAAGAAAGAAAAAAAAUGACAGCUAAGAAGCAACAAGAGGAAAGAUAGAAUUAAACUAAAGUGCAAUAAAAGAUGCACCAAUGCCAAGAGUCCCAUACCCUUCCCUUAUGUGCCCGUUAGAGGCAUUUAGC